rnacentral:lncRNA from 1 species
CCCGCCACCCCACUCUGCCCCUCCACCCGAGGCUGCCUUAUCCUUUUGCUUUCUCUCUUAAAUCUGCUGCCCGUUACUGCUAUUCUACCCUUUGGUAGGUGUCAACAGAUGUUCACACUUUCCUUUCUUUCUGAUGGUGGUCAGGAAACCUAGCACUCCACCUAAGGCGAAGAAGCCGGGCGUUUGUCUGUUGUGAGUGAGUGACAAGGGCGGAGGAGGCGUGCCAGGCUGGCUGCAGUACCAUUCCCUGAGUCUGGCACUGCCUGAAGGGAGCCCUGCCGGUCACAUCAGACGUUCCUAAGGGGCCUGGAGUGAAAGGUGCUUGCAGGGAGCAAGUGAAAGUGGCGCCCCCACCCAGUCUGCCCAUUCCACCUCUCUUUAUACUGAUGAGAGAAGCCAAAGGGAGGCAACAAGGAAAAGAAGAGAAACUGGAAGCUGGGAUGAUUGACAGACUAGAAUGACAGGCUGCUGAAACUGAAUGAAACCCCAGAAGUUAUCAAUUCAUCCUUCACUUUUUGAGUUUUUAUUGAAACACUUUGCUUUGCUUUGGGACCAUGGAUAUUCCUUGGGGCAGCCACCAAGGAUGAAUAAGGUUUGAAUGGGGAGGCACUGGCCUCGGAGCUCCUUGCUGCUGACAUCAGUUGUGCCCUUGUAGGAGACGUCCUGGUCCUGUCUGCCUCAGAGGCUUCCAUCUGCGGAUUUCCUGAGGUCGUCCCCUUACUCCUCUGCUGCAGUCUCUCUCAACAUUUCAACUGUCUGCUCCAGAAAGUUACUCUGUCACUAAGUAAAAUAAAUACAAACAAAAUAAGCAAUAA